UCCAUCCUUCCAAAGCCUGGAAUGGAAGUCUGGCUGGGUGGGGAGAUCGGAAAGGCAACUCCCUGCCUCCCGGUGUGAACUCAGGCCGGCCCCGGAAAGCCUCCAGCUGGGUCACGGUUUUGUAGGCAGAGCAGCACUAUAGGGGCAGGUGGAAGACCCCACACUCCAAAUGCAGCUACUAAGCUGGAGGGACCCCAGAGUUCAUUGGGCCCAGGAGUUCUCCACCUCGAAUCACCAGGCGCUUGUUAGAAACGCAGAGUCCUGGGCCCAGCCCCAGGGACGGUUUUGAUGGAGCCCAGGAAUCAUAUUUUUCACGAGCUUCUUGAAGGACUGGAUGCGGUGGUUCAUAGCUGCACUUUGAGAAAUCAGACCCGGUCUAACUCCAGCAUGUUCCUUCCUCCUCCCAGGCUUAUUUAGGGGGAAGUGGUGCUGAGUCUGAGGAUGGGAGGAAGGGAGGAGACGCAGCAGAUACACUCAGACCGGUCGUCUGAGCCCUGCCUGGCUCCGGUGAGACCCAGCGGCUGCACGCCCUGCCGAGGGAUGCUGCAGCGUAGGUCCCGGUUCUGCUGGAACUGAGGCAAGCACGGCAGGCUGCCAAAGGCUUCCAGGCUUUGACGACCCCCCCCAAUCCAUCCAUCCCCUGAGGGAGCCUUAGAUGUUGGAUUCCUGCCAGCCCUAUAAGCUGCGAUUCCCAACAAGCUAUUCGAGAAUUUUCUGGAUGGGAAAAAGAGGAUGUAAGGUCAAGAGCUCUGGCUCCCCAGUGAAAUGGCCAAGGCCUGUGGUUAUGAUGGGCUUUGGCUGCAGAUUCUUUGUAACAGGCCCAGAGAGAGCAAAGUUGGACACCUCACAGAUUCAUCGAGUAACAAACAGCACAGGAAGAAUUCUUCAGAGAUCAUCAGCCUGAGUAACCCCUCCUUGAUCAGAUGAGGAAACCGAGGCCCAGGGAAGAGAGGUGGGCGAUCCAGAGAGCCGAGGUUCAGGGAACUUAGGUGGUUUCCCCAAGGUCACACAGCUAAAAAGAUGGCAGACCUGGGAUUUGAAGCCAAGCCUGGAAUGAAGCUGAGCACCUCUGGAGACCCAGUGGCCACAAUGACCAGUUUCUCAGAGCAUCCCCAGGAAAGGACACUCCAGAAGCAGAGGCCUACACAAAGCCGUUUGGAGCAAGCAAGCCACAUCCCAGGUCCAGGUGGGAUUCUGGGCACCCAGGGAGGUGCUCCAUCCUCAGCCAGAGCCCCAUGGCUCCAGCCCCAGCCCCCUGAUGUUUCCAAGCUCAACAAGCCCCUCAGAGGCUGGUUCC